AGCCACCUUGCUUCUGGUCACUAAUCCUGAUCAAGAAUUGAAACACAAUUAUCUAGAAAUCCUUGGUGUGGGUUACUCUAGCAGGUGGACCUUGCAGAUGGACUGACGAUCACUCCAGACUGGGAGCACUAUACUGGUGGAAGCAGCUUCAUAGAAGAUAGACACCAAGACAUCAAAGUAUGCAAUGGUGACCACAGGAUUACCAGGAGGAUAAGUCAAGCAUUACAGAUGAAAUGGAAAUUGCAUUCAUCAUGGAGUCCACAGUCAACAAGAAAGACAGAGAAAAUAAACCAACCUUUGAAAAAAAUGGUAGCUAAUCUCUAUCAAGAAAUGGAUUUAAGUUGGAAAAGGGUCAUACCCAUUGCCUUUAUCAGAGUAGUGCCCUGAAGCAGUCUAGGGUUAACCCCUUUAAAAUUUGUUUAUAGAAGUCCCUUCCAAACUUCCUUCCUGAAAAUCCCACCUUUAGAUCUAGUAGGUGAGCCAAGACUUAAACAAUAAAAUGACAAUUAGGGGAGACAUUACUAACUAUGCAUCAGUUUUCCCUUUCCAGGUCUGCAUAUCCCACAGACAAGCCUCUUCACCCUUUCUACCCAGGAAACAAAGUGCUGCUGAAGUCUUGGAAAAACAAAGGACAAGACCAACAGCUGCUGAAAAGUGGACAGAAUCUGAACAUAUUGCUAGCUCAUUAGUGAACCCAUCUGGAGGCUUGGAUAUGUCUUUAUCAGCAGUGUGAAAACAGACUAAUACAGCAAACUGGUACCAGUAGAGUGGAGCAUUGCUGGAAAAAUACCCAAAAAUGUGGAAGCAACUUUGGUACUGGAUAAUAAGCAGAGGCAGUUUGGAGGGCUCAGAAAAAGACAAGAAAAUGUGGGAAAGUUCGGAAUUUCCUAGACUUGUUGAAUGGCUUUGACAAAAAUAUUGAUAAUGAUAUGGACAAUGAAAUCCAGGUCUAGGUGGUCUCAGAUGAAGAUGAGGUACUUGGGAAUUGGAGCAAAGGUAACUCUUGUUAUGUUUAUCAGGUGUUUCUACUUGCGCAUCCUUCCCAUUUUCUCUACCCACCGCCAUGUAAGAAAUGCCUUUCACCUCCCACCAUGAUUCUGAGGCCUCCCAAGAUAUGUUGAACUGUAAGUUCAAUUAAACCUCUUUUUCUUCCCAGGCCGAGGUAUGUCUUUAUCAGCAGUGUGAAACCAGACUAAUACAAUAGCAUUCUUUCUUUUUGUCCUAGAAGCAAGAAAUCCCUGAUUUACCUUUAUUUUUGGACUAUCCUAUUCUAUCCAAACCUGAUUGUUUCAUUUUCCUUAGGAAAUUUCAAGAGUUUUCUUUUUUUCCAUAAACAUGUUGCCAAUAAAUAACCUAUUCCACUGGCCUCCUGAGCUUAA
rnacentral:lncRNA from 13 species